UUCUUUGGAGCAACACUAUGCCUUUGCGACUUAAUCAUCAGCAUUUGGAAUACAGUUUCUUUUGUCUGAGCUCGAACUGAAAGAACCCACAGUCUGUGAGUUCUAGCCAUUUAGAAAAAGGGCAGCUGCCGUAAGACGUGAACUUGGCGUUUGAAAUCAGCAGAGAACGAGGAGUUAGUGUGAGCUUCAUGAAAAUCAUAUGCGUGGUUUUUCCGUUUCCUGUUCUGUAGCUGACAUCAGGGGAGCAAACUGAACACAGGAAAAUGGAAAUCAACAUUUGAAACUUUUAAAUGGAAGCUUUAUUGGGGUUCCACAUAUGGAAGACUGCAGAUAUCAGGAGUGUGUGAUAUAAAUUAAUCUGGAGUGACCAUAUGCUCUGACUGCCUCCCAGGACAAGAAGGAGAAUGUGACCAACACUCCUGAAGGCCUCUUUCCCCUCAAAGAUAACCACUGGCCUGACUCCUGACAUCAUACCUUGGUUUUGCUUCUUUUGAACUUCAUGUAAAUUGAAUCACAUGGCACAACACCCUACUUUUUUCCACUUGGCUUUAUGGAGAUGUUUUCUUUUUGUGACUGGUGGCCACAGCAGGCCCUCCUCUGGACAGGCUGCAGCUUAUCUUCUCCUCACCUUACAAGGCAGCUCACAGAAUGCACCAGAACUUCAGUCAAUUGGUAAUCAACACCGAUUACAGAGAACAGCUUCUCCACCUGGGUAUAAGAUGACUGCUGCUUCAGGCCUUGCUCCCCAUCUAGCCCCAGCUCUGGCCAUGCCCCACAGCAUCCCAUACUCCAGUGAAACCUCCUCAGCAUUCUCAUCAGGAGUCUCAUUCAGAUGGCCCCUUCCUCCGUGACUUCACACCUGCUGUGUGCUUCCAGACUUUGUUCUUGAGCCACAGAUAUUUCCUGAGUGCCUGCCUCUUCUGUGGUAGGUCCUGCUCGCAUGGUGAGAAUACGGCUCACAUGGUGAGAAUACAGGCACAGUUCCUGCCCCCUGAGGGUCACAUUCCAGGUUACUUCAGGAAUCCGUGUAAGAAACUGAGAUGCUGCCUCUUCUGUGAUGUUACACUGGAGAGAAAAAUCCAGACUGGAUAGAAAUGGUGGAUUGAAAGGAAUUCUGGAUGAACACCUAGAAGCUUUUGGUAUUCUGAUAACUGAAUACGUACAUGCUGGGCAAUGACCGGAGAGCUGAAAAGAGAGGAAAAGGGAAAGGCUGAGGGUACAAGAGCUCUGAGCUUGGUGCUUUGGCAAACAAGUAUGAGUUUUGGGGAUACUCAAGGAAGAGAUUCCAGUUAAAGAAAGGAACAGGGCUGAGUUCAUGGGCUCUCUAAAUGGAACCUCAUCUUACAUUCAGCUGUUCUCUGCCUUUGAGUCACACAGAACCACCUGCAGGAAGAACUCCAGAGAAAUUGGGAAGAAAAGGGAGAGAGGGCAGACAAAAG